CUUGAAAUGUCCAGUGGUUACUUACUAGUUCUGGCCAACCUUCAUGUCAAGUUUCAAGACUCUAGGUCCAAGCAUACCAAAGUUAUAACAACUUUAACAUUUUUACAUUCAAGGUCACAGUGACCUUGACCUUCAAAUGAAUGACCUUGAAAUGCCCAGUGGUUACUUACUAGUUCUGGCCAACCUUCAUGUCAAGUUUCAAGACUCUAGGUCCAAGCAUACCAAAGUUAUAACAACUUUAACAUUUUUACAUUCAAGGUCACAGUGACCUUGACCUUCAAAUGAAUGACCUUGAAAUGUCCAGUGGUUACUUACUAGUUCUGGCCAACCUUCAUGUCAAGUUUCAAGACUCUAGGUCCAAGCAUACCAAAGUUAUAACAACUUUAACAUUUUUAUAUUGAAGGUCACAGUGACCUUCACCUUCAAAUGAAUGACCUUGAAAUAACCAGUGGUCAUCUGUUAAUCCUGGCCAACCUUCAUGUCAAGUUUGAAGACUCUAGGUCCAAGCAUACCAAAGUCAUACCAUGAAAUAAGAACUUUAACAUUUUUACAUUCAAGGUCACAGUGACCUUGACCUUCAAAUGAAUGACCUUGAAAUGACCAGUGGUCAUCUGUUAAUCCUGGCCAACCUUCAUGUCAAGUUUGAAGACUCUAGGUCCAAGCAUACCAAAGUUAUACCAUGAAAUAAGAACUUUAACAUUUUUACAUUCAAGGUCACAGUGACCUUGACCUUCAAAUGAAUGACCUUGAAAU